UACGUAGGGUGCAAGCGUUAUCCGGAAUUAUUGGGCGUAAAGAGCUCGUAGGCGGUUUGUCGCGUCUGCUGUGAAAACUGGGGGCUCAACCCCCAGCCUGCAGUGGGUACGGGCAGACUGGAGUGUGGUAGGGGAGACUGGAAUUCCUGGUGUAGCGGUGGAAUGCGCAGAUAUCAGGAGGAACACCGGUGGCGAAGGCGGGUCUCUGGGCCGAUAUUGACGCUGAGGAGCGAAAGCGUGGGGAGCGAACAGG
rnacentral:rRNA from 1 species